CCGCCCCAUUCCUUCUUUUUGAUUUGCUCUGUUAGAUUUCCAAAUUCAAUGCUGCAGUUAGCUUCCCCAUUGAUCAGUCGAAGAUCCUCUUAGCGAAAAAAAAAAAAAAAAAAAAAAUCUCACGGGAAGAAAUCUUCCCUUUCUGUGCGCGUCACUCGAUCCGCUCAUUAAAAGUUUUGGUUUUUGAUUUUGUUAAGAUUGGGUCGUUCUGAUCUGCGUCGAACUCAGUACAAGUUUGGGUUUCAUAGAAGAUUCCAAGAUUUGUUAUUGCUUUGGUGAUAUACUCAGCCUUCACGAAGUUAUUAAGAAUCUCAUGAAUAAUAACUCUGAAGAAGAGACAUGGAGCUGGGAGGCGCGUGAUAUUCUACUAGAUACGUGGACUACCCUUCUCGUGCCAGUGAAUAGGAAUAGUGGAAUGCGUUGCUUCCACCUGAAGGAAGAAGUGUCGCAGCAAAUCUCUUUGCCUUAAUUGUGGAGUCUGAGCUAAGACAUAACUUUUUUGAUAUGUCACCUUCGCUUCUGCUCUGGUUCAGCAAUCAUACUUGUUUGUUUUCUUGUAUUAUCAUCCAAUAACAGUUGCUCCUUUGUGGUGUAGCUGCUUCUGCA